UUCGGGUUGAUCCUGCCGGAGGCUACCGCUAUUGGAGUUCGAUUAAGCCAUGCGAGUCGCGAGAAAUUAGAUUCUCGGCGUACCGCUCAGUAACACGUGGGUAACCUGCCCUAUGCUGGAUAAUAACCUCGGGAAACUGAGAAUAAUGAUCCAUAGUUCACUACGCCUGGAACGGUGAGUGGAUGAAAGCCCCGGCGGCAUAGGAUGGGCCUGCGGCGUAUCAGGUUGUAGGGGGUGUAACGUACCCUCUAGCCCUCUACGCGUACGGGUGUUGGGAGACAUAGCCCGGAGAUGGAUUCUGAGACACGAAUCCAGACCCUACGGGGUGCAGCAGGCGCGAAAACUUGGCAAUGCGAGAAAUCGUGACCAGGGAACUCCAAGUGCAUCGGGUAAGACCGGUGCUUUUCUUGACUCUAAAUAGGUCUUGGAAUAAGGGGUGGGUAAGGACGGUGCCAGCCGCCGCGGUAAUACCGGCGCCUCAAGUGGUAGUCGCUUUUAUUGGGCCUAAAACGUCCGUAACCGGUCUGAUACAUUCGUGGGUAAAUCAACCAGCUCAACUGGUUGAAUUCUGCGAGGACGGUCAGACUUGGGACCGGGAGAGGUGUGGGGUACGCUCAGGGUAGGGGUAAAAUCCUGUCAUCCUGAGCGGACCACCUGUUGCGAAGGCGCCACACUAGAACGGAUCCGACGGUCAGGGACGAAGCCUAGGGGCACGAACCGGAUUAGAUACCCGGGUAGUCCUAGGUGUAAACGCUGUGGACUUGAUGUUGGGGGUGCUCCGAGCACUCUCAGUGUCGAAGCGAAGGUGAUAAGUCCACUGCCUGGGAAGUACGGUCGCAAGGCUGAAACUUAAAGGAAUUGGCGGGGGAGCACCGCAACCUGAGGAUUGUGCGGUUUAAUUGGAUCAACGCCGGA
rnacentral:rRNA from 1 species